AAGUCGUAACAAGGUUUCCGUAGGUGAACCUGCGGAAGGAUCAUUACUGAGUUAGGGUCAUCAUUGGCCCGACCUCCAACCCUUUGCCUACCUUAUUUCAUGUUGCUUCGGCGAGCCCGUACUUUGAAAUAUAAGUACCGCCGGGGGCCUUUGGGCCUCUGGUCAGUGCCCGUCGAUAGCCAUUAUUAAACUCUUGUUUAACUGUGUCGUCUAAGUAAAAAGCACUUAAUAAAUUAAAACUUUCAACAACGGAUCUCUUGGUUUUGGCAUCGAUGAAGAACGCAGCGAAAUGCGAUAAGUAAUGCGAAUUGCAGAAUCCGUGAGUCAUCGAAUCUUUGAACGCAUAUUGCGCCCUUUGGUAUUCCGAAGGGCAUGCCUGUUCGAGCGUCAUUAUCACCUCUCAAGCCUAGCUUGUUGUUGGAACUAGGUCUUGCUUUACGCAUGACCGAUCCCAAAGAUAAUGACGGCGUCUGCGAGGACCCCAGUACACUGAGCUUUCUAAGCACGUAUUAGGUGGAAAUCCAGGCCCGGUCUUACUUAUAUUUUAACAAGGUUGACCUCGGAUCAGGUAGGAAUACCCCGCUGAACUUAAGCAUAUCAAUAAGCGGAGGAAAAGAAACCAACAGGGAUUGCCUUAGUAACGGCGAGUGAAGCGGCAACAGCUCAAAUUUGAAAUCUGGUUCUUUUAGAGCCCGAGUUGUAAUUUGUAGAGGAUGUUUGGGUACCGUUGCGGUUUAAAUUUCUUGGAACAGAAUGUUAGAAAGGGUGAGAGUCCCGUCUGGAACCGCGAUAGGGCCUAUGUAAAACUCCUUCGACGAGUCGAGUUGUUUGGGAAUGCAGCUCAAAAUGGGUGGUAAAUUUCAUCUAAAGCUAAAUAUUGGCCAAAGACCGAUAGCGCACAAGUAGAGUGAUCGAAAGAUGAAAAGCACUUUGAAAAGAGAGUUAAACAGUACGUGAAAUUGUUGAAAGGGAAGCGCUUGCAAUCAGACUUGCGUGUAGCGGUUCCCCCUUGCUUUUGCUUGGGUUACUCCGUUAUAUCCAGGCCAACAUCGGUUUCGAGGGUUGGUUAAAGGCCUUAGGAAUGUACUUACCUCCGGGUAAACUUAUAGCCUAGGGUGUCAUGCAGCCUCUCGGGACCGAGGUACGCGCUUCGGCGAGGAUGUUGGCGUAAUGGUUGUAAGCGACC
rnacentral:rRNA from 1 species